CCCGCUACCCCCUCCCUCGAUCGCCUUGGGCAGCAAGCUGCUGCUCCCCGCUGGGGUCGGUUAGGAAACAGCUGAGGAUCCAGCUAAGGCUAAGGACGAGCCGACCCUGUGCUCUUCCACCGCACACGGUGGAGAAGCUGAGGCAGAGAGAAGCAACUUGCCAGGGUCCACAGCUUGGAACUGGAGGGCUGGGCUCCAGCCCCUGGGCGCUUAGACACCUGCUGUCCUCUGCCUGUGCCCCUUCCAGGAGCCACUUCUCAGAGCACCCUGCCCCCUCCAGUUGUCCCCGUGAGGUCGUUUCAAAGGCACACAGCACAUGGGGAGCCACCUGGAUCUGAACUGUCCACAGUUCCAGCCAGCCUGGAUUCUUGCCGCCACUUACAGAGGCAGUGUCUGGAAGACCACUCUUGUCCCUGUUGAGGCUGACCUCCCCUGCCCUCCCCAUCUUCGCUGAGCAGAGUGGCCCUUGCGCCUGCACCAGGCUCCACCCAGGCUGAGUCCCAGUGUAUCUUCAACAGCAUGGUCCUGGCCGGGCAGCUCGGUUGGUUAGAGCAUCAUCCCAAUACGCCAAAGUUGUGAGUGUGAUACCGGUCAGGGUACCUACAGGAAUCAACCAACGAAUGCAUCAAUAAGUGGAACAACAAAUCAAUGUUUCUCUCUCUCUCUGAAAAAAAAAAAACAGUAUAAAUGAAUUAAGUAAAUAAACAGAACAACAUGUACAAUUUAAAAAAUUUUUUCAGCAUAUGUUUUACUCUUUGAUCACUUUCCCUGGAUACCAGCGCUCACAGGGGCUGGGAGCCCCUUGGCACACGGGGGUGCUGGGCUGCUAGCCAGUGUGAUGAAAUGCCUGCCCCCAAGUCAGGCUGGCUCCCUGAAGGGAAGGUGCAGAGGAGGGGAUGCUGGGUCAGGGUCGAGGCAGGCCCCAGUGUGUGGG